rnacentral:rRNA from 1 species
CAUUAUGAGAGUUUGAUCCUGGCUCAGGACGAACGCUGGCGGCGUGCCUAAUACAUGCAAGUCGAACGCUUUUUCUUUCACCGGAGCUUGCUCCACCGAAAGAAAAAGAGUGGCGAACGGGUGAGUAACACGUGGGUAACCUGCCCAUCAGAAGGGGAUAACACUUGGAAACA